GCCCGCGUGGCCCAGUGGCUAAGGCGUCCCGCUCGUACGACAUGACACGGGAAGAUCCACGGUUCAAUUCCGUGCUCGGGCA